AGGGAAAGGCGAAAAGAACCCCGGCGAGGGGAGUGAAAAAGAACCUGAAACCGUGUACGUACAAGCAGUGGGAGCACGCUUAGGCGUGUGACUGCGUACCUUUUGUAUAAUGGGUCAGCGACUUAUAUUCUGUAGCAAGGUUAACCGAAUAGGGGAGCCGAAGGGAAACCGAGUCUUAACUGGGCGUUAAGUUGCAGGGUAUAGACCCGAAACCCGGUGAUCUAGCCAUGGGCAGGUUGAAGGUUGGGUAACACUAACUGGAGGACCGAACCGACUAAUGUUGAAAAAUUAGCGGAUGACUUGUGGCUGGGGGUGAAAGGCCAAUCAAACCGGGAGAUAGCUGGUUCUCCCCGAAAGCUAUUUAGGUAGCGCCUCGUGAAUUCAUCUCCGGGGGUAGAGCACUGUUUCGGCAAGGGGGUCAUCCCGACUUACCAACCCGAUGCAAACUGCGAAUACCGGAGAAUGUUAUCACGGGAGACACACGGCGGGUGCUAACGUCCGUCGUGAAGAGGGAAACAACCCAGACCGCCAGCUAAGGUCCCAAAGUCAUGGUUAAGUGGGAAACGAUGUGGGAAGGCCCAGACAGCCAGGAUGUUGGCUUAGAAGCAGCCAUCAUUUAAAGAAAGCGUAAUAGCUCACUGGUCGAGUCGGCCUGCGCGGAAGAUGUAACGGGGCUAAACCAUGCACCGAAGCUGCGGCAGCGACGCUUAUGCGUUGUUGGGUAGGGGAGC
rnacentral:rRNA from 1 species